rnacentral:lncRNA from 1 species
GCAAUAACAUUAAAAAUAUAAACAAUUUUAAAAAAUACAAAGAAUGAAGGAGAUCGGAGUCUUAGCACCCCUCCUUGCAUGCAAACAUUAUUAUUUUCAUCCAAGUGAACUUUAUAAGUUAUUAGUUUAUGACGCACCCACGAUGUGAGUAAAAAAUUAUAUAAAAAAACAAAUGAAGCUUAAGUGUUUCAAGUUUAAACUUAUGAUAUAACUAUUUUUUUCUAUAUUUAUGACGGGGCUUUUUUAUAAUAAUUAAAUUACAUGAGGUGUUGGGGGAACUAUGGUGGUGGAUUACAAAGUGCUUGAUGUGGAGAGCCGUUAAUGAUGGAGGUUUAAGGUGAUGAUUUUAGUAGAGUGAUGGCUAGUAGUUUUAUUUGUAUCCCCAUUGAUAUUAGAAAAUGGGAUAUUUAUAGGAGGGAGUUUGAAGAGGAUCUCUCAUAUCAUGAAUGUUUUUGUAAUACAAUUCAAUUUAGCUUUAGGUUAGGGUAUGGCCUAGAUAUAGUCUAACGUGAGUUUGGGAAGCUUAGAAACUCAGAAACAUUAAUAAAAUUGUAUCAUAUGUGACGGUUAUCUUUGAAAGCAUCUAGUGGAUUUGACUUGUACAAUACUUUUGCAAAAGUUGGAUAGGGAGGAUGCUCUGUUCUUAAAAAACCAAAAGGUUAGUGGAGAGGUUGGCACUAUUACUACACCAAGCAGAACAACAUUGACUCCUACUCCAACGAUUACUCCCCUAAUUACUUUUAUGCCAGUUGUUGCAACUCAUUAUGUUCUGAUUAUGCUGUCUACUGAUACCCCGCCUUCAACAUUACCUACUUAUCAGUCACUGACCUUGGUGACCGUCCUUGCACCAAUCAACUUGAAUGCAUUACCAGGAAUACGCCUCAUCUAGAGGCCUUUCUCAUGUUGGCUUAUCUCCUCUCUAUCGCCCAAACUUUUUUAGAUUUUUAGUUUCAUCAAUGUCUUAUUGAUUGUAUAUAUUUGUCAUAUUGCACGUCUCUCUAUAAGAGUAUUGGGUAUUUCUCUAUUAGUUGCAACCGUAGUUAAAAGGGUGGCACUAUUCACAACAACAUCGUGUGACAUUAUCUUGUUGAACGUUGGUCCGUUUACAAUGUAGUAGGCCAAUUUUGGCCCACUAAUACCUAGCCACCUACCCCCCACUUGCCCACUUGCGCCGAACACCACCAUGCCACUGUCGGCCAUGGCCACCUGCAAGAAGCCAAGUAGAAAUAAACAAAUAGAAAAUAAACAUUUGUAAUCGGUUAUAAAAACCGAAAAUCUCACCAAUGAAAAGGGGGAUUUUUUAUUUUUUGCUAUGAAAACAAAAGAUUUUCUUUCAAUAUUAACAGAUUCAAUACAAGAACCAUUCGAAAAUAUAUAUACUAUCAGGGGCUCUAACACCAAAUCGGAGAAUCAAAUCUAAAACCUAAGGUGACUCUUUUUCUUUUUUUUUCUUUACUGUUUUGAGUUUAUUUUCUACAUAAAAAUACUAAAAAAUAUUAAAACAUAAAAAUAUAUGCAUUAUUAAGCAAAAAAAAAGAAAAAAAUAUUUUUUUUACCUUUUCCGGCCACCGCGUGCGGUGGAAGGCGCCGGCGCCGGCGAGCCUCCGGUGGCCGUCCGGUGACCGGCCCCCCUGGCCGGAUUCCCCUUUCCCCCUCCCUUCUCUCUCCCUUCUCUCUUCCCUCUCUCUCUUUUUUUUUUUUUUCUUACCCUCUCCCCAAAUGAUUUUUUUGGCUAUUUUAGGCCUUUAUAUAGCCCUCCAAAACGACGUCGUUUUGGGGGCUACACUUAAGCCUCAAAACGACGUCGUUUUGGCCAUGCCCGACCCAUCCGACCCGACCCGCUAGAGGAUCCGCGUGUUUUCGUUUGAAUGGGAUAUUUAUGCGCGCAGUCCUUCCGCUUUUCUGAUGCUUCACAAUUAAGUUUUUUAUGGUUUUCAAUUUGGCCCUAUAAUUUCUCGCGCUUUUCGAUUUAGUCCCCGCCAAUGUGCUGCGUUUUAAUGGAAAGGAAUAAUUGUUGUUUCGGUCCCCCAACAUUUCAC